rnacentral:rRNA from 1 species
GACGAACGCUGGCGGCGUGCUUAACACAUGCAAGUCGAACGGAAAGGCGCUGCUCUUGUGGGGUGCUCGAGUGGCGAACGGGUGAGUAAAACGUGAGUAAACUGUCCUUGACUUUGGGAUAACUUCAGGAAAAUGGGGCUAAUAUAGGAUAGGAGAUCCUGAUGCAUGGGGGGGGUUGGUAAGUUUCGGCGGUUGUGGAUGGACUCGCGGGUUAUCAGCUUGUUGGUCGGGUAGUGGCGUUCAAAGGCUUUGAAGGGUAGCCGGCGUGAGAGGGGGACCGGCCACAAUGGGACUGAGAUACGGCGCAGACGCCUACGGUAGGCAGCAGUGGGGAAUAUUGCGCAGUGGGGGGAAGGCUGAUGCAACGGCGCCGCGUGCGUGAUGACGGCCUUCGGGUUGUAAACCACUUUCGCCUGUGACGAAGCGGGAUUGACGGUAACUGGUAAAGAAGCACCGGCUAACUACGUG